AAGAAAUCAACCGAGAUUCCCCCAGUAGCGGCGAGCGAACGGGGAGGAGCCCAGAGCCUGAAUCAGUGUGUGUGUUAGUGGAAGCGUCUGGAAAGGCGCGCGAUACAGGGUGACAGCCCCGUACACAAAAAUGCACAUGCUGUGAGCUCGAUGAGUAGGGCGGGACACGUGGUAUCCUGUCUGAAUAUGGGGGGACCAUCCUCCAAGGCUAAAUACUCCUGACUGACCGAUAGUGAACCAGUACCGUGAGGGAAAGGCGAAAAGAACCCCGGCGAGGGGAGUGAAAAAGAACCUGAAACCGUGUACGUACAAGCAGUGGGAGCACGCUUAGGCGUGUGACUGCGUACCUUUUGUAUAAUGGGUCAGCGACUUAUAUUCUGUAGCAAGGUUAACCGAAUAGGGGAGCCGAAGGGAAACCGAGUCUUAACUGGGCGUUAAGUUGCAGGGUAUAGACCCGAAACCCGGUGAUCUAGCCAUGGGCAGGUUGAAGGUUGGGUAACACUAACUGGAGGACCGAACCGACUAAUGUUGAAAAAUUAGCGGAUGACUUGUGGCUGGGGGUGAAAGGCCAAUCAAACCGGGAGAUAGCUGGUUCUCCCCGAAAGCUAUUUAGGUAGCGCCUCGUGAAUUCAUCUCCGGGGGUAGAGCACUGUUUCGGCAAGGGGGUCAUCCCGACUUACCAACCCGAUGCAAACUGCGAAUACCGGAGAAUGUUAUCACGGGAGACACACGGCGGGUGCUAACGUCCGUCGUGAAGAGGGAAACAACCCAGACCGCCAGCUAAGGUCCCAAAGUCAUGGUUAAGUGGGAAACGAUGUGGGAAGGCCCAGACAGCCAGGAUGUUGGCUUAGAAGCAGCCAUCAUUUAAAGAAAGCGUAAUAGCUCACUGGUCGAGUCGGCCUGCGCGGAAGAUGUAACGGGGCUAAACCAUGCACCGAAGCUGCGGCAGCGACGCUUAUGCGUUGUUGGGUAGGGGAGCGUUCUGUAAGCCUGCGAAGGUGUGCUGUGAGGCAUGCUGGAGGUAUCAGAAGUGCGAAUGCUGACAUAAGUAACGAUAAAGCGGGUGAAAAGCCCGCUCGCCGGAAGACCAAGGGUUCCUGUCCAACGUUAAUCGGGGCAGGGUGAGUCGACCCCUAAGGCGAGGCCGAAAGGCGUAGUCGAUGGGAAACAGGUUAAUAUUCCUGUACUUGGUGUUACUGCGAAGGGGGGACGGAGAAGGCUAUGUUGGCCGGGCGACGGUUGUCCCGGUUUAAGCGUGUAGGCUGGUUUUCCAGGCAAAUCCGGAAAAUCAAGGCUGAGGCGUGAUGACGAGGCACUACGGUGCUGAAGCAACAAAUGCCCUGCUUCCAGGAAAAGCCUCUAAGCAUCAGGUAACAUCAAAUCGUACCCCAAACCGACACAGGUGGUCAGGUAGAGAAUACCAAGGCGCUUGAGAGAACUCGGGUGAAGGAACUAGGCAAAAUGGUGCCGUAACUUCGGGAGAAGGCACGCUGAUAUGUAGGUGAAGUCCCUCGCGGAUGGAGCUGAAAUCAGUCGAAGAUACCAGCUGGCUGCAACUGUUUAUUAAAAACACAGCACUGUGCAAACACGAAAGUGGACGUAUACGGUGUGACGCCUGCCCGGUGCCGGAAGGUUAAUUGAUGGGGUCAGCGCAAGCGAAGCUCUUGAUCGAAGCCCCGGUAAACGGCGGCCGUAACUAUAACGGUCCUAAGGUAGCGAAAUUCCUUGUCGGGUAAGUUCCGACCUGCACGAAUGGCGUAAUGAUGGCCAGGCUGUCUCCACCCGAGACUCAGUGAAAUUGAACUCGCUGUGAAGAUGCAGUGUACCCGCGGCAAGACGGAAAGACCCCGUGAACCUUUACUAUAGCUUGACACUGAACAUUGAGCCUUGAUGUGUAGGAUAGGUGGGAGGCUUGAAGUGUGGACGCCAGUCUGCAUGGAGCCGACCUUGAAAUACCACCCUUUAAUGUUUGAUGUUCUAACGUUGACCCGUAAUCCGGGUUGCGGACAGUGUCUGGUGGGUAGUUUGACUGGGGCGGUCUCCUCCUAAAGAGUAACGGAGGAGCACGAAGGUUGGCUAAUCCUGGUCGGACAUCAGGAGGUUAGUGCAAUGGCAUAAGCCAGCUUGACUGCGAGCGUGACGGCGCGAGCAGGUGCGAAAGCAGGUCAUAGUGAUCCGGUGGUUCUGAAUGGAAGGGCCAUCGCUCAACGGAUAAAAGGUACUCCGGGGAUAACAGGCUGAUACCGCCCAAGAGUUCAUAUCGACGGCGGUGUUUGGCACCUCGAUGUCGGCUCAUCACAUCCUGGGGCUGAAGUAGGUCCCAAGGGUAUGGCUGUUCGCCAUUUAAAGUGGUACGCGAGCUGGGUUUAGAACGUCGUGAGACAGUUCGGUCCCUAUCUGCCGUGGGCGCUGGAGAACUGAGGGGGGCUGCUCCUAGUACGAGAGGACCGGAGUGGACGCAUCACUGGUGUUCGGGUUGUCAUGCCAAUGGCACUGCCCGGUAGCUAAAUGCGGAAGAGAUAAGUGCUGAAAGCAUCUAAGCACGAAACUUGCCCCGAGAUGAGUUCUCCCUGACUCCUUGAGAGUCCUGAAGGAACGUUGAAGACGACGACGUUGAUAGGCCGGGUGUGUAAGCGCAGCGAUGCGUUGAGCUAACCGGUACUAAUGAACCGUGAGGCUUAACCUU
rnacentral:rRNA from 1 species